AUCUGGCACCCACAUGGGACUGAGAAAUGGCAGAGGACAUUUGGAAAAAACACUGCUGUUUUGGAGUUCCAUAGAAGAAGAGAAUAAUUAAAGGAAGUUCAUAGCAGAGAAGGUUUCCAAGAUGCCUUUCCAGACUAGAACCCAGACAUGUGAGCCACUGGCCAGACACAACAGUGCUGGAGGAGCUGAGAAUUCUUAUUGACCUGAAGGCUGCUAGAAGAAGACCGGUAGCUAGGAGGAGAGUUUCAAAUCCCACCAAUGUUGACACACUUCCUCAAACAAGGGUCCAUCUACUCCAACAAGACCGCAUACCUGCUAAUGUUGCUACUCUCUGGGCCAAAUUUCUUCAAACCACCACAAGGACAUUCAGGAAUUAUGGUUGAUGACUUUGUUGUUUCAAGCCAGCUGAUACUGUAGCCAGAGGACAAACACCUGCAGAAGUUCUCUUAUGGCUAACCACAUGAAAGUGCUGUGGAGAGAGACGCUGGGGCAGACCAAUACUGAAAAAGGAAUGGAACAACUUCAGCUGAUCUUGUAAGGCUGAAUAGCUGAAAUCAGAGCCUUCUCUGCCUCCCACUUAUGUAGUCGCAGAUCUGAAUGCCACCUUGGAAGACUGGCCACUGUUCAGGACCUUGAAGAUUCAGCCUGGAUCCUCCCAGUGUAGACACCAGAGCACCAGAGGCAUCAGGGCUCGAAUCAACCCUCCCACCCUGGAGAGAUGUCUGAAGCAACUCCUUAGUGGAGUCUCUCUCUUAGUUCAUGGUAGCUGGCAAUUUACCCAGUCGUGAAAAUUCGGCAGAAUCUGGGGCUGUUUCCGAUAAGUCCCCACCCUGCCUUCCAGCUCAGGGAACACUAGAGGGACUCCUUCCUCCUACUAUUCAUUCCCUCUAUCUAUUCAUUCUCUGCACAGGAAUCCACCUUGUGAUUUCAAUACAUUGAGCUGGGAGACACAGGCUCAGUCAGGACUCUACAGGGGACUGAGGGCUGACUGUGGUUCUUGGAGUAUGUUUCCUAUCCGAAGUGCCUGGACUUUUUAAAUUUAAAAAUCCUUUGCAUUUUUAUGGAGAGCAUGGAAAAAAUGGAAGCUCCAAUGCAGAUUCAUAAACCAGAGAUCCUAGCCAGUUUAAGGCGCGGCUCCCCUUUCUUGGGUCUGUGCCCCAGGGGACCUGAAAAAUGCUAGUCCAGCAAAAGCAAGGAGGUCACAGGCUCUUGACUACUUUUCUGUUCCUGUUGGGUUGGACCCAAGCAAACUAGUAAUCAUUAAAGGCCAGUGAUUUGUAAUCAGAUUUGCACUUAAGGGCUACUGGCAAUCUUCAAACCGGUAUUUAUUAGCAAGCCAGAUGUCUUGCAGAUUGUCUCACAACCCUGUUUUCUCUAAUUGUGUUUCUUCUCAUGUAGCUCAGCGUAUCUCAAACACACUAAAAAGCUGACUAGAAGCUGGUGGAUCUCAGAUGCCUGCUUCAAUGCUCCCUGCUUUGCCAGGGCAGCUGGAUUGAUUUUUUUUUAAUUCCAAUAUUUUCCAUUAUUUUUAUCCAUCAGGUUAGUUUGAAUAAUGCCAGCCAUUCUUGAUGGACAUUUCGAGUUAUGAGCUGAUGCUGUAGCUCAGCUAAUUGCUUGCCUAACCCUGGGCUCCAACCUGAACACUGGAUUAAUACACAUGCAUAUAUUUCCAGGACAGAAGAAGUGAAGGCAUGAAGAUCAGGAAUGCAGCUAUCCUUGACUUUGUCAGGACCAGCCUGAGCUAAAUGAGCUAGACCCUGCCUCAAACAGAAAACAAGGUCCAAAUAAACCAAUGACAAAAAACAAACAAAAACAAAAACAAAACAAAAAACAAAAAACAAAAAAAGCCACUUUGAGUACUUACAUAUUUCCAUUUUCAUUUGUUUAGUCUUAUCUUCUAAGUAGCCAAGGUUGACUUCUAAUUCUCACAGUUUGAUCGGCAAAAGAAGAGGACUCGUCCAAGCUUUGAACCCAGGACUUCUCAGACCUUAAGUGAGAAUCAUACCCCUAGACCAACAAGCCUUAAAGAGAAGCUACAGCUAUUCUUUCUAAGAGGGAUAUAGUGGAGUUCUGUGGUUGAAUUCAAUAAACACAGGAAGAAUUGAAUUUCAGAUCUACCUGAAAAGGGUGAUGCAAGACUACCCACUGUCCCACUUUAUCCAGAAUGUCAAAAAUAGAAUAGACUCUGUAACACUUCCACCCACUGUAAUCUAGUACACCCAGUGCUGCUUCAGGCAGAGCAAAAGACCCACAAACUGCUCAAGUGCCUCCAAUUCUGACCUAAUGUCAGAGAUACCGAAUGCAGAACCCCAACAAUGGGGCACUACUUGAAGUGCAAGCAUUGUCUCCAGUUGAGACCCAACUAAAAUAACAUCUCCCCCAACAUGGGGCUCGAACCCACCACCCUGAGAUUAAAAGUCUCAUACUCUACCUACUGAGCUGGCUGGGCAACUGUUCUCUAGCUUAGAAGUUUACUAACUGUGACUUGAAGGUAUUGAACUGGCAAAGUAAAUAAAGCCAUUUCAGAUUGAGGGCAGCUUCUAAAACAAGAAGUUUCACCUCCACACAGCAGACAGACACCCAAGACCCUGAGAUACAUACAUUAAAGCUGAAGUGCCUGCUCAUUCUCCUUCUCCUAUUCCCACCUGAAAGUGGAACCUCUAGUCCCUGCCCCCUGACCACUGGGUAAGCGUCUCCAGAGCCAGACCUUGGCUACCACUUGCUCUGUUCACAUAUCAUAGAAAUGCAAUGCAGACAGGCACAGCCAUGGCUGGCACUGGAGGAGCAUGGUCCAACCUAGGUCCAUACCUGCACCAGGUCUUUGUGCAUCUGAUCAGUAUUUGCUUACUAAACUGUAUGUUUGCCUGAACAGAUGUCUCUGUUGUCCUUUGUUUCCCCAAAAUCGAACCUAAUCUAAAUGUAAGAGAUGUCUCAUGUGACUCUGGUGCCCUGACUUUGUUGUUAACAGACAUAGCCUCUCAGGUCUGAGCCCAGGUAGCACAGGGUCUGGGAGCUGGCUUAGGGUGGCCAUGGGGGCAAACAAGUCAGUUAAGGGACUCCUGCUAGAGCUCAAAAUGUGGGACAGUAGGGUUAAGUUUGUGAUCCUGAUCAGGGUUCCAACAAAGCCAGGGGUACCAAUCUGCGCCAAAGCAGGCAUGGCCAAUGUUCUAUCCAUAGCCACCCUCGGGGUUUCUCCUAGGUCCUUUUCUGUCAGAGUGCCAGGAAUCUGGUUCUUGCCUAUGCCUCCAGAAGGAGACCUAUCACACUGCACACAGAAUACCAGACACUUCCAUUGAAGUGUCCAGAACACACAGCAAUAGCUGUCGGUCUUCAGGUGUAUCCUAUUCUUGAGUCCUAUUUCCAAUCUAACAGCUGUGCUGAGCUGCCUCAUUAUGUAAUUGCAAACAUUCCCAAUUGUGGAAGGAAGAGGCACAAAAGAACCAGCAUAGGAAGGACCCGGUUGUCACCUCCCUGCUCCCCACCCACACAUGCAGGGGUUCAAGUCUGAUUUUACACAGGUUGGACCAAUCUUCACCACCGUGCCAUAUUAUAGACUCAUCUAGUUUUAAAUGUUCAAUGUAUGCUUUUGUAUGAAGAAAUACUUAGUUUGUCUCUUCCAUUUUUAAGACUAACAGACCUUUUUCUAUUU